rnacentral:rRNA from 1 species
UACGUAGGGUGCGAGCGUUAAUCGGAAUUACUGGGCGUAAAGCGUGCGCAGGCGGUGGCUCAAGCCAGGCGUGAAAUCCCCGGGCUUAACCUGGGAAUGGCGUUUGGGACUGGGUCGCUAGAGUGUGGCAGAGGGAGGUGGAAUUCCACGUGUAGCAGUGAAAUGCGUAGAGAUGUGGAGGAACACCGGUGGCGAAGGCGGCUUCCUGGACCGACACUGACGCUGAGGCGCGAAAGCUAGGGGAGCAAACGGG